CAGGCUUCUGGCUGCUCCUGCACUUUUGUCUCAGAGUUCUUAAAAAACAUAGGUGACAUUAGCGUUUCUAAAUAUUCACAGCUGUCUCCUCAAGAUUAUAGUAAAAUUGUACUUGCCCAUCCUCUUGUAUUAAGAUCAGUGAGCCAUAAAAUUACAUGCAUAUGCUGAGAACUGUAUCACACAUGAGAUAGUUAAGAUGUAAAAUCCCCAUGAGGACAGCCAAAGGCAGAUGGACUCACCUUCCGAGGAAGCGAGAAGUGCAGCUCACUGGACUGACAUCUUUCCAAAUGAGAACGGAUAUCACGGGAAAGAUGGCAUUUAAAAAAAUCUCUUGAAGGAAGCCAAGAUUUUAAGAAUCAUUGUUGGUGGAAAGGAAAGGCAAGACUAUGUGACAGCAACACUAUAUUUGAGAAAAUAUUGGGGAAACAGACACAGUUGUUGAGCUCUAUACAAGGUCUGUCAUAUAUUUAUCCCACUAACAAAUUCUGUUAAUUAUGCC
rnacentral:lncRNA from 1 species